rnacentral:lncRNA from 1 species
UGAUUAUGGAGCUAAAAUCUUCUGAAUUUUUUUCCCAGCAAACAAUUACAGAGGUGAUUCAAAUUGGAUAUUUAGUAAGAAACACAACAAUGCUGUAACACCCCUUUUCGAAAUAGAAAGAGAUUACGCACAAAAUAUAACAAAAACUACAAAACAAAUCGAGAGCUCUAUGCCACAAAAUCUAGUAACUGAUAAAUGCCACAAUCAAACCGUAAUAAAAGUCAAACUGGUUCAAACCACAAUAUAAGAUAAUUAUUACAACUCUAAAUCAACCAAUG